GAGUUUGAUCGUGGCUCAGAACGAACGCUGGCGGCAGGCUUAACACAUGCAAGUCGAACGAACGUAGCAAUACGUUAGUGGCGCACGGGUGAGUAACGCGUGGAUAUCUGCCUUUUGGUUCGGGAUAACCUUGGGAAACUAGGGCUAAUACCGAAUGGUUCCUACGGGAUAAAGAUUUAUCGCCAAAAAGAUGAGUCCGCGUCCGAUUAGCUAGUUGGCGGGGUAACGGCCCACCAAGGCGACGAUCGGUAGCUGGUCUGAGAGGACGAUCAGCCACACUGGGACUGAGACACGGCCCAGACUCCUACGGGAGGCAGCAGUGGGGAAUAUUGGACAAUGGGGGCAACCCUGAUCCAGCCAUGCCGCGUGAGUGAUGAAGGCCUUC
rnacentral:rRNA from 1 species